UACGUAGGCGGAAAAUUUAGUCAGUGGUGAAAUCCCGCAGCUUAACUGUGGAACUGUCAUUGAUACUGGUUUUCUUGAAUUUAGUUGAGGUAGGCGGAAUGUGUAAUGUAGCGGUGAAAUGCUUAGAUAUUACACAGAACACCGAUUGCGAAGGCAGCUUACUAAGCUAUGAUUGACGCUGAGGUACGAAAGCGUGGGGAGCGAACAGGAUUAGAUACCUGGUAGUCC
rnacentral:rRNA from 1 species